ACAUGCAAGUCGAGGGGCAGCGCGGGGCAGCAAUGUUCUGGCGGCGACCGGCGGAAGGGUGCGUAACGCGUGAGCGACAUGCCCGUUGCCCGGGGGACAAACCGGUGGAAAACGCCGACUAAUCCCCCGAUGGGACGGAGGCCCUCAUGGGUCUCUGUUGAAAGUUACGGCGGCGACGGAUUGGCUCGCGUCCGAUUAGCUGGUUGGCGGGGUAACGGCCCACCAAGGCUACGAUCGGUAGGGGUUCUGAGAGGAAGGUCCCCACAAUGGAACUGAGACACGGUCCAUACUCC
rnacentral:rRNA from 1 species